rnacentral:rRNA from 1 species
AUUGAACGCUGGCGGCAUGCCUAACACAUGCAAGUCGAACGGCAGCAUGGUCUAGCUUGCUAGACUGAUGGCGAGUGGCGGACGGGUGAGUAACGCGUAGGAAUAUACCUUAAAGAGGGGGACAACUUGGGGAAACUCAAGCUAAUACCGCAUAAUUUCCUUGGAAAAAAGCUGGGGACCGCAAGGCCUGGCGCUUUAAGAAUAGCCUGCGUCCGAUUAGCUAGUUGGUAGGGUAAAGGCCUACCAAGGCGACGAUCGGUAGCUGGUCUGAGAGGAUGACCAGCCACACUGGAACUGAGAGACGGUCCAGACUCCUACGGGAGGCAGCAGUGGGGAAUAUUGGACAAUGGGGGCAACCCUGAUCCAGCGAUGCCGCGUGUGUGAAGAAGGCCUGAGGGUUGUAAAGCACUUUCAGUGGGGAGGAGAUUGAUUUGGUUAAGAGCUGAGUUGAGAGACGUUACCCACAGAAGAAGCCCUGGCUAACUUCGUGCCAGCCGCCGCUGUAAGAC